rnacentral:rRNA from 1 species
GACGAACGCUGGCGGCGUGCCUAAUACAUGCAAGUAGAACGCUGAAGAGAGGAGCUUGCUCUUCUUGGAUGAGUUGCGAACGGGUGAGUAACGCGUAGGUAACCUGCCUUGUAGCGGGGGAUAACUAUUGGAAACGAUAGCUAAUACCGCAUAACAAUGGAUGACCCAUGUCAUUUAUUUGAAAGGGGCAAAUGCUCCACUACAAGAUGGACCUGCGUUGUAUUAGCUAGUAGGUGAGGUAACGGCUCACCUAGGCGACGAUACAUAGCCGACCUGAGAGGGUGAUCGGCCACACUGGGACUGAGACACGGCCCAGACUCCUACGGGAGGCAGCAGUAGGGAAUCUUCGGCAAUGGGGGCAACCCUGACCGAGCAACGCCGCGUGAGUGAAGAAGGUUUUCGGAUCGUAAAGCUCUGUUGUAAGUCAAGAACGAGUGUGAGAGUGGAAAGUUCACACUGUGACGGUAGCUUACCAGAAAGGGACGGCUAACUACGUGCCAGCAGCCGCGGUAAUACGUAGGUCCCGAGCGUUGUCCGGAUUUAUUGGGCGUAAAGCGAGCGCAGGCGGUUUGAUAAGUCUGAAGUUAAAGGCUGUGGCUCAACCAUAGUUCGCUUUGGAAACUGUCAAACUUGAGUGCAGAAGGGGAGAGUGGAAUUCCAUGUGUAGCGGUGAAAUGCGUAGAUAUAUGGAGGAACACCGGUGGCGAAAGCGGCUCUCUGGUCUGUAACUGACGCUGAGGCUCGAAAGCGUGGGGAGCGAACAGGAUUAGAUACCCUGGUAGUCCACGCCGUAAACGAUGAGUGCUAGGUGUUGGAUCCUUUCCGGGAUUCAGUGCCGCAGCUAACGCAUUAAGCACUCCGCCUGGGGAGUACGACCGCAAGGUUGAAACUCAAAGGAAUUGACGGGGGCCCGCACAAGCGGUGGAGCAUGUGGUUUAAUUCGAGGCAACGCGAAGAACCUUACCAGGUCUUGACAUCCCGAUGCUAUUUCUAGAGAUAGAAAGUUACUUCGGUACAUCGGUGACAGGUGGUGCAUGGUUGUCGUCAGCUCGUGUCGUGAGAUGUUGGGUUAAGUCCCGCAACGAGCGCAACCCCUAUUGUUAGUUGCCAUCAUUCAGUUGGGCACUCUAGCGAGACUGCCGGUAAUAAACCGGAGGAAGGUGGGGAUGACGUCAAAUCAUCAUGCCCCUUAUGACCUGGGCUACACACGUGCUACAAUGGUUGGUACAACGAGUUGCGAGUCGGUGACGGCAAGCUAAUCUCUUAAAGCCAAUCUCAGUUCGGAUUGUAGGCUGCAACUCGCCUACAUGAAGUCGGAAUCGCUAGUAAUCGCGGAUCAGCACGCCGCGGUGAAUACGUUCCCGGGCCU